rnacentral:rRNA from 1 species
CAAAUUUAAAAUCUACCUGGUUUYCAGGUCGAGUUGUAAUUUGAAGAUACGUUUUUGACGUUCCGGGUUGRACUAAAUCCUUUGGGAUAAGGUAUCAUGGAGGGUGAGAAUCCCGUAUAUACCAACCRYAGGGAUGUUAUUUAAUACGUUUCUAAGAGUCGAGUUGUUUGGGAAUGCAGCUCUAAAUGGGUGGUAAAUUUCACCUAAUGCUAAAUAUAAGCGAGAGACCGAUAGYGAACAAGUACAGUGAUGGAAAGAUGAAAAGAACUUUGAAAAGAGAGUUAAAUAGUACGUGAAAUUGUUGAAAGGGAAACGAUUGAAGUCAGUCAUGCCRGUGGGAAUCAACUUAGAGGAAACUCUGAGUGCACUUCUUCGCUUGGCAGGUCAACGUCGAUUUUGGAUGUCAUAAAAUGAUUGGGGGAAGGUAGCUCCUUCGGGAGUGUUAUAGCCCUUGGUAGAUGUGAUGUCUGGGAUCGAGGAUUGCAAUGGAUACCCUUUGGGGCUAGCCGCCUGAUCUCUAAUYGGUAUUGGGUUACGGAUAGCAUGCUGACCGUGAUCUAAUUAUUGGUUAAAA